UGAAAUGAAGUUUCUUCUAUUGUUUUUGUUAUAUUUUUCUUGGUUUUGAUGAUUUUGUUUAUGUAAUUUCACUGUAUGGAAUCGGCUGCUGUACAUUGUUAAUUGUAAUGGACUCUCCAAUAAUGCUUCAAUUUCCAGAUAGGAAUUGCUCACGUCGUAGCGAUCCGAACAAUUCAUUAAACUAUUCAAUCAAGCGACAAAUGAUGUGUACAAAGGGCAAGUCGAACCUCCUCCUCCUCCUCACAUCGCGGUGAUCCGAACAAUUCAUUGAACUAUUCAAUCAAUAGGAGCGGCAAGCGGUGUGUACAAAGGGCAGGUCGAACCUCCUCCUCCUCCUCCUUACCCUUUUUGAGGAUUUUUGAAACAAGGAAACUGGUAAUCUUUUUACUGUUUUUUACUUAAUUUUGUUUUGAAGAUCUUAUCCUACAUUUGAAGAUAGUCGAACGUGAAAUUGCAGUGACAAGAAGUAAUCGGAACUUUUUUGUAUUAACUUAAUUUUGGAAUUCAAUUAUUACAUCAUUGACUACUUUUACAUCUUUUUGUUUUGGUGCUAAUAUUUUAACUCAUUAUAUAUUGGCUAAAGGACCAAUAUAAGUUAUUAGAUCUUGCCUUCUUGAUGUAUGCCCAUCUUUUCUUUGUUCAAACUGUUUGUACUUGUUGAUUCGAUUUGAUUUUGAUCUAAUUUUAUGGUGUAUAGUUGGCAUUAAAAUUAGAACAAUCACUCGAAAAUGUAGCUAAGAGAAAUUGUCGUUUGUGGUACAAACCCCACUUUAGUUAGUGUUACGAGCUUAGGCAACUGAGGUAAUAGGUCUUUUCCAUUGAUGAACAUGGUUUUUUUUUAGUUCAACAAAUGUAGGAUGAGAGAUCAAACUUUGAACUUACGAAGAGCGUAACAGGUCUUUUGAUCCUAAGUUAGGUGAUUUUUCAUCAUAAAAGUGUUAAGUUUAAAACGCAUCUGUUGCAACUUUUACAUUAAUUUAUGUGUUUGUUUCGAUAUUUGGUCAGCGAUAUCACUUGCAAGAUCUUUUUUUGUUUGUUUGUUUCGAUUACUCUUCUAGUACUUUUUGAUGGUCCUAUAUGGUUAAAAUGAUUCUCACAGUUUCUCUGUUAGAUUUCGUGAGCAGGUAAUGCUUUUGAAUGGAUCAAUUCCUUGGAUGAAUUUGGUAUGCUCUACAUUCUAUAGAUAUACUUCUUCAAAGCUUUAAUCGCUUUCUUGGGCUAUUGAAAUAUAACAAUGCUUAUUUCAUAAUCUUCCUUCACAAGGAAGUUAAAGUGGGUUCAUUGGUAGAUGAUUUUGUAAGUAUGUUCAUUUCAAGAUAUUAACUUUCCAAUACAUUUUUCUAUGAACCAUUUGAUACUAAUUGCUUGUUGAGCUUUUAUUCAGUUGGUUUGAGGGUUUGAAGUUUUAUAUAUAUAUAUAUAUUGGCAUUCAAAGGAAGUAAAUGAAGAGAUAGAAGUUCCUUGUGAAGAUCUUCAUGUACUCAUAUGAUAUGAAAUUAUACCCCAAUAACACAUGGUAAUGAAUCAUAAAAUCUAGUGAAUUACUUCAAUUGUUUGACUCCUUGUAGCAAGGUCGAGUUGCUUACUGCAACAAAGUUGACUGUAUAUAUGCUAGAUAAAUGAGAACAAUAAAGUUACCAUUGCCGAUUCUUGGAUGGAGCUUGACUCGAAGCCGUCCCCAUGUCAUCGAGGUCAAAAGAAUCAUACGACGACACAUUCUGCAAAUAAAAACUCCGAAAGGGUUAGACAUGAAACAAAAUCUAGACUUCUGAUUCAGGAUGUUUUGUUGGGCAUUCAUUUAUAAAGCUUGGUUUCAAGUAGGAAAUGAUUGUUUGGCUGAUGCUGCCAAUGAGUUUAGAUUGAACAUAUACUCUAAAGUUCAAUCGUAUUGGUUUUUGGACUUCCGCGCCCAGAUGGAUAGUAGUUAGUAGGUUUGGUAAUACAUUUUGAAUAUGCAUUGCUGUAUAAGUUCUCUUAUUUUGAGAUGUAGGGAGCAGAAAAUAGACCAUAUAUAGAAAGCAAGUACACAAAUUUAAAUUUC